AAUGAACGUUGGCGGCGUGGAUUAGGCAUGCAAGUCGUACGAGAAGAAACCUUAGCUUGCUUUGGUUUCGGACAGUGGCGAAAGGGAGAGUAACGUGUGGUUACUUGCCCCCAAGUUCGGGAUAGCGUUGGGAAACUGGCGGUAAUACCGAAUAAUAUCUUUGGAUCAAAGGUGUGAUUCCGCUUGGGGAUAGGACCGCAUACUAUUAGCUUGUUGGUGAGGUAACGGCUCACCAAGGCUGCGAUGGUUACCGGGUGUGAGAGCAUGGCCCGGCUCACUGGGACUGAGACACGGACCAGACUCCUACGGGAGGCAGCAGUAGGGAAUUUUGCGCAAUGGGCGGAAGCCUGACGCAGCAAUACCGCGUGAGUGAAGAAGGCCUUCGGGUCGUAAAGCUCUUUAUCUAUGGGAAGAUAAUGACGGUACCAUAGGAAUAAGCACCGGCUAACUCCGUGCCAGCAGCCGCGGUAAUACGGAGGGUGCAAGCGUUGUUCGGAUUUACUGGGCGUAAAGGGUGCGUAGGCGGACGUGCAAGUUAAGGGUGAAAUCCCGGGGCUCAACCUCGGAACAGCUUUUAAAACUGCAUGACUAGAGUAAGAUAGAGGCAGAUGGAAUUCCUGGAGUAGCGGUGGAAUGCGUAGAUAUCAGGAGGAACACCAGAGGCGAAGGCGAUCUGCUGGGUCUUAACUGACGCUAAGGCACGAAAGCGUGGGGAGCAAACGGGAUUAGAUACCCCGGUAGUCCACGCUGUAAAUGAUGAAUACCAACUAUGUGAGGAAUCGACGCCGAACGUAGUGCAGCUAACGCGAUGAGUAUUCCGCCUGGGAACUACGGUCGCAAGACUAAAACUCAAAGGAAUUGACGGGGGCCCGCACAAGCGGUGGAGUAUGUGGUUUAAUUCGAUGCAACGCGAAGAACCUUACCUGAAUUUGACAUAUUCGGCAAUUUUUAGAAAUAAAGAGUUCUCUUAGGAGACCGGAAUACAGGUGCUGCAUGGCUGUCGUCAGCUCGUGUCGUGAGAUGUUGGGUUAAGUCCCGCAACGAGCGCAACCCUUGUCCUUAGUUACCAGCGAGUAGAGUCGGGAACUCUAGGGAGACUGCCAGCGUCAAGCUGGAGGAAGGAGGGGAUGACGUCAAGUCCUCAUGGCCUUUAUAUUCAGGGCUACACACGUACUACAAUGGCAACUACAAAGAGGAGCGAACUCGCGAGGGCAAGCAGAUCUCAAAAAAGUUGUCUCAGUUCGGAUUGUAAUCUGCAACUCGAUUACAUGAAGUUGGAAUCGCUAGUACUCGUGGAUCAGCAUGCCACGGAGAAUACGUUCCCGGGCCUUGUACACACCGCCCGUCACACCCCGGAAGUUAAUAUUGGCAGAAAUCGUUGAGCUAACCCGCAAGGGAGGCAGGCGAACAAGCUAGUAUGGAUGACCGGGGUG
rnacentral:rRNA from 1 species